AGUGAACGCUGGCGGUAGGCCUAACACAUGCAAGUCGAACGGCAGCACAGUAAGAGCUUGCUCUUACGGGUGGCGAGUGGCGGACGGGUGAGGAAUACAUCGGAAUCUACUUUUUCGUGGGGGAUAACGUAGGGAAACUUACGCUAAUACCGCAUACGACCUACGGGUGAAAGCAGGGGAUCUUCGGACCUUGCGCGAUUGAAUGAGCCGAUGUCGGAUUAGCUAGUUGGCGGGGUAAAGGCCCACCAAGGCGACGAUCCGUAGCUGGUCUGAGAGGAUGAUCAGCCACAUUGGAACUGAGACACGGUCCAGACUCCUACGGGAGGCAGCAGUGGGGAAUAUUGGACAAAGGGCGCAAGCCUGAUCCAGCCAUACCGCGUGGGUGAAGAAGGCCUUCGGGUUGUAAAGCCCUUUUGUUGGGAAAGAAAAGCAGCAGGUUAAUACCCCGCUGUUCUGACGGUACCCAAAGAAUAAGCACCGGCUAACUUCGUG
rnacentral:rRNA from 1 species